AAGCGGCUUGUUCCGCGAAUUCCAAUUUUUCGUGCACGUUACAUGCUGUGUGAUUUACGAUCGCGAUCGUAUUUUCCUCGUAUAAAAUCUCGCUCGUACCUAGAUUAUACCUUCCCGUAGAAAAGAAAUCCGUUUGUCCAACAAUGGAGGAUGAAAGUUCGUAAAUCGUGGCAGGACACCUUAACGUUUAAUAGUUACCGAAUAUCGACGAACGUUGCGAUUCAGAGACCAUGGCUCAUCUAAGUAUAGACGAUAUGUUAUCUUCGUUCCACGCGGAACGAUUCCUCAUCACGGUGAUAUGGUGCCUCAUUGUCACUCAGCGCCCGGACAUCGUCGACGAGGAGAAUCGCGUGCAAUCCGUGCCCGUAGAGGAACUGCUGCGCGAAUAUGAUUACGUGAUAGUCGGCGGAGGAUCAGCCGGCGCUGUGUUGGCCAAUCGAUUGUCGGAGGACAAAAAUUACACCGUGCUCCUGUUGGAAGCAGGCCUUGACGAAGUGGUCGUGUCCGACAUGCCCUUAACUUACACGCUCAUACAGCGUUCAUUUAUGAAUUGGGAAUACAAGACGGAACCGUCGUCCAAUUACUGCUUGGCGAUGAAGAAUCAUCAGUGCAGAAUACCGCAGGGCAAGGUGUUAGGUGGUUCCAGCACGUUAAACGCGAUGAUAUAUUCCCGUGGUAAUAAGAGAGAUUACGAUUUCUGGGCGUCACUCGGUAACACCGGAUGGGAUUAUAAAAGCGUCCUGCCGUAUUUCAAGCUGUCCGAAGACGCCAGGGCCGAGGAUCUGCACGAUUCACCGUAUCACCAAAGAGGCGGAUACUUGACGGUGGAACAUUUCAAAUAUACUUCGCCGGAUAUCGAUUAUAUCGUUCGUUCCGGUGAGGAACUGGGAUAUCCGAUACGCGAUAUAAACGGGGAAAAUCAGACCGGAUUCACGUACUCCCACGGUACCGUAAGGAAUGGACUGCGAUGCAGCACCGCCAAAGCUUUCAUACGACCCGCCUCGAAAAGGAAGAAUCUACACGUCAGUUUGGAUUCGUUGGUGGAAAAGAUUCUCGUGAAAGAAGUUGGCGCAACCAAUGUGGCAGAAGGGGUGCGGUUUCGCAGAGACGCGUGUCACCACGUGGUUCAUGCGAAACGCGAGGUCAUUAUCUCCGCGGGCGCGAUACAAUCGCCGAAAUUGCUAAUGCUGUCGGGUAUCGGACCGAGAGAUUACCUCGAGGAGAUGAAAAUACCCGUCGUGCAUCAUGCGCCCGGAGUAGGGCAGAAUCUUCAAGAUCACGUGGCGUCGGAAGUGAUUUACACGAUCGAUCUUCCGCCUGAUAUCCCGGAACCCAAGAAAUUCACCGUGCGACUAUUCGAAUCCGUCACGCUGGAAGCUCUAGAGGAUAUGAUACAUGACAAUCCCAGUCCGCUUCACACGACAACUAUAGGCACAGGAAUGGCGUUCAUUAACACUAAGUACGCGGACAAGACGUUCGACUAUCCGGACAUUCAGCUGCUCUUCUCGAGCUCCUCGCAUGCGUACAAAUCUGGAAUUAUCUCGUCACGUCCCGAAGAUACCAACCCAGACAUCAUGAAUGACUUUUACAAAAAUAUUCUGAAGCAUCAAACUGUCGAGAUACAUUCGAUUCUUCUUCGGCCACGUAGCAGGGGCCUCGUUAAACUCAAUACGACUGAUCCCACUGGGAAUCCCGAGAUCUAUCCUAAUUACUUCAUCGAUCCUCACGAUCUACGAGUUAUGAUAGAGGGUAUGAAAUUCGCGGAUAAGAUGAGUCGCACGCACGUCAUGCAGAAGUUAAACACGCGACCUAAUCCGAAUCUAAUAUCAGGGUGUUCGCAGCACGACAGCUCGUCGGACGAGUAUUUGGCUUGCUAUGUGCGUCACUUGACAGGGACGAUAUAUCAUCCCGUGGGUACUUGCAAAAUGGGCCCUGUCAAUGACAGUCAGGCCGUGGUCGAUGCAAGAUUAAGAGUGUACGGUAUCGCGAGAUUGCGAGUGGUCGACGGCUCGAUAAUGCCGUACAUUGUCUCCGGUAAUACGAACGCGCCGGUGAUCAUGAUCGCGGAGAAGGCUGCCGAUAUGAUAAAAGAAGAUUGGCCGGUUUAACUCGAAAAACUUCAGGGACGAUAAAUCGUAUAUCUUAUAUCUUAUUAUUCGUAUUAAUUAAUCGUAUAUCUUAUUAUUUAAUCUCAAUUUAUGAAGAUUGUUUACGAUGUCGUAACUUAUAAAUAGCGAACAUAUAAACUGUAUUUUUAAUUUUGUCAGAUCGACACAGCCAAUAUGACGCUUCCCUAUGAAAAUUAAAGAAUCCGAAAAUCAAAGGAUUUGUUCGGAGCUAGGUUCGUGAUUUAUCGGACUGCUUCGAAGAUUUUUGUUAAGAAGCUGACGUCCAAACAGCCGGCCCCCUCACUUCAUGCAAAAUGCAAUUGUGAAAAUAUAUAAUUAUGCG